GCGGGCGCAGGCCCCGCCCCUUCCCCACCCGGCAGGGUCUCUCCCCAGCUCCCCGGGCCGCUCGGUGUGUGCGCGUGUGCAUGCCUGUGUGUCUGUGUGUCUGUGUGUCUGUCGCAAACAAGGCACCGCCUGAGGAUCUGUUCUAGCUCUGCGGUGAUUCAGGGAUCCUGAAGCCAGGCCUGCAGCUAGCGGACACCUCGGCGAGGCCCUGCGUUGGGUAAUCCUUGCUGAGCCAUCAGGCAGGGCGGAAAGGGAGCCCGCAGCUGAAGGAAAAGAUCUCUUGUAGCAACAGAGCAAGGGGUGAGGAGAGGACUGGGACCCCGGGGUCAGUGCAGGGCCCAAGAUGCAGCUGCCAGGGAGGGAGGAGAUGGAGAUGCCCGAGGGAAGAGGUCCCGAAGCAUGACGCUGGCCUUCCAGAAGGAGGUGGGCAGAGAGGCACCGAUGCCCCGAUAGGAUGGUUGGAGUUCACAGGGCUCCCCCACUAGGGAUUGAACCCAGCCUUUGCAUUGGGGUACAUCCCCAUCCCUUUUCGGGUGUUUGUUUGUUUUCUGAGACAGACUGUUGUAGUUUAUGAAAGGAUCUUGCCCUAAACACUGCAGCGGAGGCUGGAGGCGGAACCAAGGGGCUCUAUCUUGAGGUCACCUCCCCCAUCCCUAGGCAGUUUACCUGUGGCUCGAAAUAAUUCCAAUGGGCUACUUGUGCAUCAGUAAUGCCCCUUAGGCUCCACCCCAAACCUAAGCUAUAUGUGUGACCCCACCCCACGUGUCCCGCAGAGAGAAUGCCACACCUCAGUGGUGGUGGUGGUGGUGUUUCUCUCUCUACAUUCUUAAAAUAGAGGCCACUUUUAUUUCAUACUUCUAUCUUUUUAGCCGUGCGGAAAAUUCUAUCAGUUUGGACUGAACUAGAACUCACUGUGUAGCCCUUGAACUCACAGCAAUGCUCUGGCGAGUUUUGGGAUUACAGAUGAUUGCCACUCAUAAUCCCAAAACCUGGUUUCAUCUCAGCCCCUUUUUUUUUUUUUUGUACCGGAGAUCGAACUCAUGACCUUGUGCUUGCCAUUACACGACCGGGGAGCUAAAUCCCGGCCCCAUCUCAGCUCUUUUAAAAAAAUCAUUUUGCUUUAAUUUUACACAUAGGUAAGCUGUGUGACAGAGACAUAAUUACCCAAGGUCACUGCAAGUGCUACAGACACAGAAGAGGGAGAGGCCCUUCUCCUAGGAAGGGUGUGGCCUCAGUCAGGAAUACUGCCCCAGAGGCAGCAACUGAAACCCCACCCAAUGCCCUCCCCCACACACAGAGCCACUGCUUUAGGCAGUUGCAGUGCUUGCCAGACCCGAGGAGACAGCUUCCCCGGGAGAUGGGAACGCUCUCCCCUCAACUACAGGUGUCCCUGUCCCCAGCCGCCUGCACUCAGCAUCGACCAGAUUGAUUUCAGGAUGUGAUUCUAAAUACCACUCUCAGCUCACAAGAACGGAAUCAGCUGUGGCAAGCAGCUCAAAAAGAAGCUGAUCAGAGACAUAAGGUAAACACUACUGAUAAUGACUCUGGGCCUAUACCUGUACCAAAGCAGGACAAGCAUACUAACUAUAACAAACUUUUAAAACAGGUCCAGGAGGCUAAUCAAAACCCAGCUGUGUUCCUAAAUUGGCUUUCUAAUCCUCGUGCCCCAUGAGCAGUUCCAGCUUUGCGCACUGUGUUGGACUGCCUCCCAGCCCCUCCCUCCCCUGUGUGCCAUGGUCGUCUCUGCCUUACACGUUUCUGGGGGCAGUCCCAGCCCACCCUUGUGUGCUAGUCCCAGCGCUCGCCCCACAUGCACGCUGGGCGUGCUCUGCCGGAGUGCAGCAAAACAGCAGCUCAGUGACUCCGCUCAGGCAUGCUAUGUUUUACAAUUUGGCUCCGCUCAAUAGAAGCUAUUUUUUUUAUCACAAUUCUCAAACCAUUUAAUCAAAGUUACUGGCCACCUGAUAAUUUUACCAGCCUUGUUUAUCAAUCAGCCUUCACCAAUCUCGUGUUUAACAACUAAGAUUAUAAAUUCCUUUUUGCUGGGAACCACUAGCUCUAUUUCAAGACAAGGGUUUUCUUCAAAGUUUUAUUUUAUUUGUCUUGGUUCAUACUACUGCAAAUAACAACUUUAAAAGUAAAUGUGUUCAAAAUUUGACAGUAUUAGAUCAGUUUUGAUAGAUUUAUUCAUAAGAUUGCUAAACCUUUACUGCAAAAUGUUUCCAUUAAAUCCUUUUUAGACAGAUUAAAGCCUUUUUUUGUUAAUUCCAUGUGGCACCUUAAAAAAAGCGGUAUGCCAUCCAGAUAAAGCCUGCUCUCUAAUCUAAAAUGCCAAUAUUAAAUUCCUACAUACUUACUUAAUUUUACUGUAGUCCAAAUCCCAAACAAAAAGGCAAAACUUGACCUUCAAACCUUAUAGAGAUCUUAAUAUGUUUUUUCAUAUUUUUAACACUUGUGACACUUGGAAUUCUGAGACAGGUAAACCUACACAAGGUGGAGCUACCUGGCCCCUCCAUGGACCACGCUCAAAUGCAGCAGAAGACAUUGGGCAAAAAAAUGCCCCUUCCUGGCAUUCUUUGAGACCUUACUUCAGGGCUGCUGGACUGUCCUAGCCACCAAAGCGUGGGUAAGCCAUCCUAACUUGUGGCCCUCACAGGAAAUGUCGACACUGCCAGAUUCGUCACCGACAGAAAAUUGCUGCCAAAGACUGAGGGAGUUCAGGGCAACAACAGCCCCUUUAAGGUGUCUGUCUCAGAUUCCAAGUCGACUAAAGUCUCAGGUAAGACAUUCUCUAUAUUUGUGGACAUACAGGCCAUAUAUACAGAGUUCUUCCUGAGUAUUCAGGCUGCUAUAUUAAGUCCUCAAUCUCUGUGAUAGGGUAUUGAUGGUCAACCUAUGCCAUUUACAAACAGGGCCUAUUUUGUGCAGGUCCCAGUCCUAAAUCUUAAAAUGCCUUUUAUACAGGCUGACUUAGACACACUGAGGCCUCAACAGCUUCCACCUGUUAUCACUAGUAAACCUCUCCUCAGUGAUAUAAGACCACCCCCUUCCUUUCUUAUUCACCAAUUUCUCAGGUAACCCUGGUCAAGACUGACAGAUACAUUUUGUCUUCUCACUUUGGUUAUACUUUUUCAGGAUACAUAAAAGCCUUUCCCACAACCAGGUAAACUGCUGAUACACCCAGGUUACAGCGACCCAUGCCUAAAUCAAAGUUGCUAGACUGCCAUCCUGGUUUCACAUCACUCAAGCCCUAAAUCUGAUCAUUCUGAGUGGUCAUCUCAUCUUCUGUCACCCACCCAUCUCCGUUUCAUGAAGGCCUCACAGCCACAGUUAACAGGCUAAGUCAUGUGUUGUUAUCCACUUUGGUUCCUAAUUUCUUACAUUCUAUUAAUGAUCAUUUUUACAGCAGGACUCUUGACAGUCUUUCCUAAAGACUCCCACAUCAUGCGUAAGAUAAUUUUCAUAAUGUUCUAUAUGAUAACAGUUGCAGUUCUUUCUACCUUCCCUAUACUGGUACAGCCACCGCCUUCCCUGCUCCCCCUAUUUUUUCAGUUCAACUCCUGGACCAGAGACAAGUUUUAUAUACCUACCAUCUUAACUUUUAUGCUUUCACUUGGGGGAAUAAUCACCUCUCAUAAUAUCAUCUCUCCUAACCUCACAGUUAAUUUUCAGAAUUCUGCCUUACUGUGGAACAUGUCUAAAUCAAAGGCACCUUUCCUUCUACCUCACCUGGGUCCUUAAAUAUGACAGUGCCAUGCCUCCGCAUAACAUGUUGUCUCUUUGUUUUUCCAGUCUGACAUACAUGCAUUCACCAGUGAAGUUGUCCUGGCAAAAACACCUGGCACCAGUGUCUACCUGGGCAACAACCUUCAUCCUGUCAACUCCCCUAGGCUCCAGUACAGCGCCCUCUGCCAGCAGGAAGUAGUUAAAGAGAGAAAUCUUUGCCCCUUUUCAUAAUAAUAAUCAUAAGACAGGAUAUGAAAGGGUUUUGGCCCAGACAGGACACUGUAGCCAGGAAAGCCUCAACCGGAAGCAGGAAGGCCCUAUCUCCCCUGCCCUUAGGAAGUUACCUGUGAUGCCAUCUUCCUGCCCCUGGAAAUUUACAUAUGGCCCCAAACCUAGGACCAAUGGGCUACCUGUGCAUCCCUAAUGCCCGCCUUAGGUUCCACCCCAAACCGAGGCUAUUUACAUGCCCCCACGCCAUGUGUCCGCCGGAGAGAUCGCCGGAUGCCAGCAGUGGGGGUGCCGGUCAUCUCUCUCCGUAUUCUCAGAAUAAAAGCCACUUUUUAUUUUAUACUUCUCAA